AUUGAACGCUGGCGGCAUGCCUUACACAUGCAAGUCGAACGGUAACAGGUCUUCGGAUGCUGACGAGUGGCGAACGGGUGAGUAAUACAUCGGAACGUGCCCAGACGUGGGGGAUAACGAAGCGAAAGCAUUGCUAAUACCGCAUACGAUCUGAGGAUGAAAGCCAGGGACCGCAAGGCCUUGCGCGUUUGGAGCGGCCGAUGGCAGAUUAGGUAGUUGGUGGGAUAAAAGCUUACCAAGCCGACGAUCUGUAGCUGGUCUGAGAGGACGACCAGCCACACUGGGACUGAGACACGGCCCAGACUCCUACGGGAGGCAGCAGUGGGGAAUUUUGGACAAUGGGCGAAAGCCUGAUCCAGCAAUGCCGCGUGCAGGAUGAAGGCCUUCGGGUUGUAAACUGCUUUUGUACGGAACGAAAAGGCUCUGGCUAAUACCUGGGGCACAUGACGGUACCGUAAGAAUAAGCACCGGCUAACUACGUG
rnacentral:rRNA from 1 species